GACGAACGCUGGCGGCGUGCUUAACACAUGCAAGUCGUACGGUAAGGCCCUUUCGGGGGUAUACGAGUGGCGCACGGGUGAGUAACACGUGAGUAACCUGCCCACAACUUUGGGAUAACGCUAGGAAACUGGUGCUCAUACUGGAUAUGUGCUCCUGCUGCAUGGUGGGGGUUGGAAAGCUCCGGCGGUUGUGGAUGGACUCGCGGCCUAUCAGCUUGUUGGUGGGGUAGUGGCCUACCAAGGCGGCGACGGGUAGCCGGCCUGAGAGGGUGACCGGCCACAUUGGGACUGAGAUACGGCCCAGACUCCUACGGGAGGCAGCAGUGGGGAAUAUUGCACAAUGGGCGCAAGCCUGAUGCAGCAACGCCGCGUGCGGGAUGACGGCCUUCGGGUUGUAAACCGCUUUCAGCAGGGACGAAGCUUUUUGUGACGGUACCUGCAGAAGAAGCACCGGCUAACUACGUG
rnacentral:rRNA from 1 species